GAGGGUAUAGCUCAGUGGUAGAUCACAUGCUUAGCAUGCACAAGGUCCUGGGUUCAAUCCCCAGUACCUCCA
rfam:Camelus ferus unplaced genomic scaffold scaffold1095, whole genome shotgun sequence.